GGGUCCGUGUCGUGGCGACAAGCGCGAUUCCAAACCGCGCGACGGGCGUUCGAUUCGUUCCGGGCCCGCCA
rnacentral:tRNA from 1 species